UGCGUAGGCGGCGCGGUAAGUCGGGUGUGAAAUCUCGGAGCUUAACUCCGAAACUGCAUUCGAUACUGCCGUGCUUGAGGACUGGAGAGGAGACUGGAAUUUACGGUGUAGCGGUGAAAUGCGUAGAUAUCGUAAGGAAGACCAGUGGCGAAGGCGGGUCUCUGGACAGUUCCUGACGCUGAGGCACGAAGGUCAGGGAGGCAAACG
rnacentral:rRNA from 1 species